AGGGAUUUUGCUCAAGAUCCCCCUGUACCCAAGGCUUUCUGAAGCAGCUGUGCCACCCUGUGUCUGCAAGCUGGGAACAUCCCACUCACAACCGACCUGCCCCUCACUGGGACUGAGAAGUACUCACUACCUGUGGCAGAUUAACUGAGGGUGUGUGGUGGAUGGGUGGUGCUGGGCUCUCCUCCAGUGCACGGCUUUGAUUUAUUGGUGCCUCCUGACCCUGACAGCUGGCUCUGUUCCGUGCACAGCAGUCCUUGGAUCAUCAUGAGAGAAGGCAUAGUGAGAAGCCAAAUGCAUGGAAGUCAUGCCUUGUAGCAGAGCUUGAAGGCAUUAUCACCAGUGGCAAACUGUGACAGUAUGGACCUGCUGACCCCGUAUUGCCCCAGGAGCUGUGCAGGGGUGAGUGAGGACCUGCUGUCACAUCCCACUUUGCUGUUGUCCAAUGGAAUCCAACUGUGGUCCUGGACAUACAUGAAGGUUUUGUCCCAGAGACAAGCUCCACUCCUUGCCUUGUGCUCAUCCCUAUGUCAAUUAGAAGAACUGAUGAUCCCUUGUAAAUGUGUAACAGCUGGGAUUACCUCUGUGGGAUGAACGUUUUGCCAACCUUGAGGAUAGUUAUCCAAAAACUCUUGCCAGAAACAACAAACCUGGCACCUGCUGUGAGUACACCUGGUGCCAAACAUCACAGCAGGGCAUGGUAAGAAGAACCCUCCAACAUCCAGCCUGCCACUGCCACCCAUGUCCAGUCAUCAGCCCAGCCCUGAGAUGGACACUGGUGUUUGAGAUGGGUGGGUAUGCCUUGGAGUUUGCGUAGGGAAGGCUUGAAACUGAAAUGCAUGAGAUUGAGUGCCUUGGCUUGUUUUUCUUCUUUGCUUUGCCUUGGCUCGCUGAACAACCCCAUCUGGCUUUUCUGAACAGCAGUGUUACUCACCUUGUGCUUUAUGCUUUCCUGGGGAUCAGUAAUAAACAUCCCUUCAGUCGAUAAUGAAACAGGAAGGAAAAUUAGCGGCGCUUCUACCGUGAGCUCAAAGCCAAUCAAUCCCAGAGAAAUGCCAUGGCUCUCACACAGGGGUCAGAUACCUGCUGGGACUGAUGCCCACCUCUCCCUUCUUCAGCUUUAUACGUCCCUGUUUUUCCAACAAAUGCUAUUUUUCUCCCUAAAUUCAAACCUUUCCCAGGAGCAGAUGGCUCCUCCAUCUAUUUCUACCUUUAAGGUGACAUUUGGCAAAGCUUUAAAAUCAUCCAUGUAUUCGUUUAGAGCAGGGAAAGGCUUGGGGGGAGGUGGAGGGAGCUGAGGAAAGGCAGACCCACCUGGCUUUGGGAUGACUGCUUCAGGGAGACAAUUGCAACCCACAAAUAUUGAAUGAUAUUGGUGCUGUGGAAGGAAAUAUUUAUGGUGGAAGAGGUGGGGGGUGAAAACAGAGGCCCAGGCUGAGUGCUAAGAAGUAUCCGCCUGUGAAUUUGCCUUCUGAGUGCAGGUGAGGUGGAAGCUCCAUCAUUUGGGGAUGCUCAGAAUUGCACUGAACAAGGUCUGAGUGAAUUCCCUCCAGGGAGCAAUCAUGCACCAGCUGAGACAGAUCAAUCCUGCCUCCACACCUCUGCCUUUCACUACAUUUUCUUGUAGAACUGUGGGUAUCACUAAGGAAAUUAUUAGACUCCCUUCCCUGUGGCUGUGUGCUGCCUCCCUUCCACAAGAGCUGCAAUGGCCCUGCCGCAUUGGUUUUCCCAGGGCUGUUUGAAUUCUGUGUGUAGGGAAGAGGGAUGCUCAGCCCCUGCAUUGCAGUGGGUUCUGUGGCCAUCAUGCUGCCAUUGACUGCAACCAGCCCCAACAACAGGUGUCUAAGGACUACAAGCAAAGCAGUUUGGCAUCAUCCUUCCUCUGGCACCAUGGGUGUUGUCAGAGGGAUGGAUAACAAAAGAGAAAGAGAGCAAAGGAGAGCCAGAGCUGAUGGCGCAAAAUGCCUGUUGGGAGCUGGAAAAUAAUCCAAAGCCUUUCUCAGAACAGCUCAAGGAUUAAAGCAUCCAUUCUGGGGUGGGCAGCAUGAAGGCUGGCAGUGGUUGGGCAGCACCAGAUGUGAAAAAGCUUUGUGGAAGGAAAGCCUCGGUGCCCAGAGAGAGCUGAGCUCUUGACUGAUGUGUCUG
ensembl:lncRNA